rnacentral:antisense_RNA from 1 species
GAGGAGGGUAGAAUAAUCCAUCUAUUUUAUUUGGCUAUAGUGAUAAGUAGAGGUUUCAAGAUAAACAUUUCUCCUCUGAGCAACUCGAAAGAAUGAUCCAUUUAGUUUUGUAUCCCAUUCCCUGUUCACCCCUGACCCCAUCCCCAUCACAGAAUAUCUAGCAUUUGUAUUUCGUUCAUCAUACACUUGAGUUAAUAUCUGUGGAAAGGAUAAAUACAUAAGGAAAAGAGAUGCAGGAAACUGCAGAGAUACUGGCCGUUUAUCUGAGAAGUGCCCAAUGAGGCAUCACCGGAUAAGCACACGUCGGGUCAUUCUCCUGCUUCAGGGAGGUCUGUGGCGCUGACAUUAUCAAUGCUAUGGAUGCCUCAAGGCUCUGAUAAAAAUACCUGGCUUCAGCAAUAAGCAUGCAGUUAUCUCAGUUUAAAGCAGCCACUAAUCUCAAUUGAAUGCAGCUGUGAAUGCAAAUUGACUGAUGUUAACAGAACUGUUCUGAGAGUUCUCAAAUAAUAUGAAGGUGCAUAGUGUGGAAGGCAGUCACUAAGUUUGGUCUAAUGGAAACCACAUAUGAAGAUCUAAUUCAACACCAUGAGUUACCCCCAGAAGUUAAAUAGGUCCCUAAUUCAGCCUGCUGCAUAAGGUUGUAUCAUAAAAGAGAAACGUGUUCUGCUCCCUGCUUAGUAAGAAAUGCUGCUUACUUCUCCAGCUUUUGAAGCACAGGUUUUAUGUUUGUUUGUUUGGGAUAGAAUCUCACUCUGUCACCCAGGCCAGAGAGCACUGACAUUGUCAUGGCUCCCUGCACUCUCAAACUCCCAAGCUCAAGCAAUCCUCCCACCUCAGCCUCCCAAGUAGCUGGGACUACAGAUUCUCCUGUUUGCUUCCUAAGACAGAAGAUAAAUGGGAGGAAAAGGAUCAAAUGUGAAAAUUCUGAUGGGCUGCUCCAUUGGGAAGUCAAGACUGUAUCUUAAGUGCUGUAUUCCACUCGAUGCUCCAUUUUCCUGCUUGCUGCAGUAACUGUGGUUUCAUACAGAGUACUAGAACUACCAGCAGCCUGAUGGUCUUAAGGCUGGGUGGACAGGAAGGAGGACCAGUGGCCUGUGAAGAGUCAUUAAGGAGGCUGAUGCAUAAAUAUUCAAGCCUGUGACCCACGAUUCCACCUCGCACAAGCCCCCUGCUAACUGCCAGUCCUGUCGUAGUUUUCUGGAAUCCAUAUAACCUGUUAUUU